rnacentral:rRNA from 1 species
GUUUAGCGGCGGACGGGUGAGUAACGCGUGGGAAUAUGCCUCUUGGUACGGAAUAGCCCCGGGAAACUGGGAGUAAUACCGUAUGUGCCCUUUGGGGGAAAGAUUUAUCGCCAAGAGAUUAGCCCGCGUUGGAUUAGGUAGUUGGUGGGGUAAUGGCCUACCAAGCCGACGAUCCAUAGCUGGUUUGAGAGGAUGAUCAGCCACACUGGGACUGAGACACGGCCCAGACUCCUACGGGAGGCAGCAGUGGGGAAUCUUAGACAAUGGGGGCAACCCUGAUCUAGCCAUGCCGCGUGUGUGAUGAAGGCCCUAGGGUCGUAAAGCACUUUCGCCUGUGAUGAUAAUGACAGUAGCAGGUAAAGAAACCCCGGCUAACUCCGUGCCAGCAGCCGCGGUAAUACGGAGGGGGUUAGCGUUGUUCGGAAUUACUGGGCGUAAAGCGCGCGUAGGCGGACUAUUAAGUCAGGGGUGAAAUCCCGGGGCUCAACCCCGGAACUGCCCUUGAUACUGGUAGUCUUGAGUUCGAGAGAGGUGAGUGGAAUUCCGAGUGUAGAGGUGAAAUUCGUAGAUAUUCGGAGGAACACCAGUGGCGAAGGCGGCUCACUGGCUCGAUACUGACGCUGAGGUGCGAAAGUGUGGGGAGCAAACAGGAUUAGAUACCCUGGUAGUCCACACCGUAAACGAUGA